rnacentral:lncRNA from 1 species
GCCCAUAAGUACACCGCCCGGUGGUAAGCACGACACUUGGUAUCACCCUUUAGCAUUGCCGCUUGAGCAUCCUCCAGAGAUUCCACUGAAGAGUCCACUGCCCGGCGGUGGGUUGCACCACCCGACGGUAUGUGCGAUUCUCAUCUCACCCCUUGGCGGUGCCCCUUAAGUGUGUGGUAGAGGAUGCAUUGAAGGUCACACCACCCGGCGGUGGCUACGAUUCUUCUUUUCUUCAACUUUCCACUUUCUUUUGCAUCCAACACUUCUCUUCCUUCACUUCUUUCAUCAAACUCC